UGGGGAAUUUUGGACAAUGGGGGCAACCCUGAUCCAGCAAUGCCGCGUGAGUGAAGAAGGCCUUCGGGUUGUAAAGCUCUUUUGUCCGGGAAGAAAUCCCAUCCCUGAAUACGGGGUGGGGAUGACGGUACUGGAAGAAUAAGCACCGGCUAACUACGUGCCAGCAGCCGCGGUAAUACGUAGGGUGCAAGCGUUAAUCGGAAUUACUGGGCGUAAAGCGUGCGCAGGCGGUUGUGCAAGACCGAUGUGAAAUCCCCGGGCUUAACCUGGGAACUGCAUUGGUGACUGCACGGCUAGAGUGUGUCAGAGGGGGGUAGAAUUCCACGUGUAGCAGUGAAAUGCGUAGAGAUGUGGAGGAAUACCGAUGGCGAAGGCAGCCCCCUGGGAUAACACUGACGCUCAUGCACGAAAGCGUGGGGAGCAAACAGGAUUAGAUACCCUGGUAGUCCACGCCCUAAACGAUGUCAACUAGUUGUCGGGGAUUAAUUUCCUUGGUAACGCAGCUAACGCGUGAAGUUGACCGCCUGGGGAGUACGGUCGCAAG
rnacentral:rRNA from 1 species